AGACCUGGUAACAAGGAAGUUGAUUUGUCAGAAGAAUGAUUCAGAGGGCCUGAGAUGAAGGACUUUCUUCACACAUUUGUAGUACACUUCCAUGAGGAGAGCUCACAAAGAUAAAAUGGAAGAAUAGCACCCACAGAUUUGAUUGUUCAGCAUAUUUGAGCUGUUAAUCUGCUUAGUAUGUCUUUGAUAAAUUGCUGUAUAGAUUGAUGUGUGAAAUGUGACUUCCACAUGUUCUUGAAUCAGAGACACUUGAUCGGCAAUAUUACCAGGAAAUUUGUGGACGAUCUAGAUUUGCUGU